UACGGAGGGGGCUAGCGUUGUUCGGAAUUACUGGGCGUAAAGCGCACGUAGGCGGCUUUGUAAGUUAGAGGUGAAAGCCCAGGGCUUAACCCUGGAAUUGCCUUUAAGACUGCAUCGCUAGAAUCGUGGAGAGGUGAGUGGAAUUCCGAGUGUAGAGGUGAAAUUCGUAGAUAUUCGGAAGAACACCAGUGGCGAAGGCGACUCACUGGACACGUAUUGACGCUGAGGUGCGAAAGCGUGGGGAG
rnacentral:rRNA from 1 species